ensembl:misc_RNA 7SK 7SK RNA
GGAUGUGGGAGCGAUCUGGCUGCAACAUCUGUCACCCCACUCACUGUUCGCCAGGGUUGAUUUGGCUGAUCUGGCUGGCUAGGCGGGUGUCCCCUUCCUCUCUCACCGCUCUGUAUGUGACCCUCCCGAAGCUGUGAAGAGGACGACCUUCCCUGAAUAGAGACAGGCCGGUCUUUGGUGGAGGGCUUAGGAGUAGCUGCGCUCCUCUGCUAGGAGCUCCCUAUAAAAGGUGCACACUCUGCUGUGCGCUGAAGACAUUUCCACUUCGGGAAAUUAGCAGCCAGCAUGAAGCG